AUUGAACGCUGGCGGCAGGCCUAACACAUGCAAGUCGAGCGAGCGGCGGACGGGUGAGUAAUGUCUGGGAAACUGCUUGAUGGCGGGGGAUAACUACUGGAAACGGUAGCUAAUACCGCAUACCAUCAGAUGUGCCCAUAUGGGAUUAGCUAGUAGGUGGGUUAAAGGCUCACCUAGGCGACGCUCUCUAGCUGGGCUGAGAGGAUGAUCAGCCACACUGGAACUGAGACACGGCCCAGACUCCUACGGGAGGCAGCAGUGGGGAAUAUUGCACAAUGGGCGCAAGCCUGAUGCAGCCAUGCCGCGUGUAUGAAGAAGGCCUUAGGGUUGUAAAGUACUUUCAGCGGGGAGGCGUUACCCACAGAAGAAGCACCGGCUAACUCCGUGCCAGCAGCCGCGGUAAUUC
rnacentral:rRNA from 1 species